GAUGAACGCUGGCGGCGUGCCUAAUACAUGCAAGUCGAGCGAACAGACGAGGAGCUUGCUCCUCUGACGUUAGCGGCGGACGGGUGAGUAACACGUGGAUAACCUACCUAUAAGACUGGGAUAACUUCGGGAAACCGGAGCUAAUACCGGAUAAUAUAUUGAACCGCAUGGUUCAAUAGUGAAAGACGGUUUUGCUGUCACUUAUAGAUGGAUCCGCGCCGCAUUAGCUAGUUGGUAAGGUAACGGCUUACCAAGGCAACGAUGCGUAGCCGACCUGAGAGGGUGAUCGGCCACACCGGAACUGAGACACGGUCCAGACGCCUACGGGAGGCAGCAGUAGGGAAUCUUCCGCAAUGGGCGAAAGCUUGACGGAGCAACGCCGCGUGAGUGAUGAAGGUCUUCGGAUCGUAAAACUCUGUUAUUAGGGAAGAACAAAUGUGUAAGUAACUAUGCACGUCUGGACGGUACCUAAUCAGAAAGCCACGGCUAACUACGU
rnacentral:rRNA from 1 species